rnacentral:miRNA from 1 species
UCCCUGAGACCCUAACCUGUGAC